CACCCAGGCCCAGAUGGCUGCAGAUGCCUCCACUGAGGGCAGCCGGGCCCAGGGGAGUCAGAAGAUGCCUGUGCUCUCUGCUGGAUCCCUACCACCAGGCCUGGGCUGCUUCAGGACACUGCCCAGCCACCCAGGGUGACUUUGUGUCGCCACGGUCUCAUUCUAUGAGACCCACUGGAAAGCAGCUGAGCUCCCUACCCACUGUGUAGUUGUGACUAACUGACUCAGCCUCUGCGCCUCUGUUUCCCCAGGAAUGGUGUUUGUGUUGGCAUUUGUGGUCCCUGUGUCAACUGCCAACUGCCACGGCAUGUGACACUGUCAGGGGACUGUAGGUGUGAGGAAGGACUCAGCUGGAGGGCUCGUGCCACCUCACCUCCAGGAAAGCACACCUGUUGGGAGAGCCAAAGUCACUGGGAACCUUCAGUGCAGUGGAGGAGCCCGGGCCAUGUGUUUACAGCUCUUCGUGUCUCUGCGGUCUGGGGAGGCGCCUGGCAGAGGUGAAACGGACGUGGACAGCCAGGCCUCCAUGCCCCGCUCACUUGGCCCUAAGCUUCCAGAAGACUUUCGGUGGAGCAAGGGGGGCACAGAAGCCUCCUGUCCUCUGUCACUCACUGCCCCAUGGCCACUGUGACUGGCAUGUCCUUGGUGUGCGGUGUACGGGUCCUUGGCAAGGUGGCCCGAGACAGCCACUCUGAGCAGGAGUCUUUGCCAGGGGCAGGGAAACAGCCAGGAGCAGCAGGUGCCAUUACCAGAGUCUGAGGUUUGCACUCAACUCCACCACAUUCACCUUUGGAGUCUGCUUUGGGCCGCUCUUGCUGCAGGGCUGAAGUUGGGGCUGGGAGCAUGGAAAAGAAUAAACUGAGUCUCGGUUCUGCUGCCUGCCUUGCAAGUGGAAGGACCCGAGUUCAA